UGAAUACGAGACGCUACGGCGUCGAAGCAGUCUAUGUCAUACUUCCAAGAAAAGCUUGCACUGUCAUAAACAAAUAAUGCCUGUACCAUAACCGACACAGGUGGGUAGGUAGAGUAUACUAAGGGGCGCGAGAUAACUCUCUCUAAGGAACUCGGCAAAAUGACUCCGUAACUUCGGGAGAAGGAGUGCCUUAUUUAUAAGGUUGCAAUAACAAGAUCCAAGCAACUGUUUAUCAAAAACACAGGUCUCCGCUAAGUCGUAAGACGAUGUAUGGGGGCUGACGCCUGCCCAGUGCCAGAAGGUUAAAGAAGUUGGUUAGCAUUAGCGAAGCUGAUAACUGAAGCCCUGGUGAACGGCGGCCGUAACUAUAACGGUCCUAAGGUAGCGAAAUUCCUUGUCGGGUAAGUUCCGACCCGCACGAAAGGCGUAAUGAUUUGGAUACUGUCUCAGAGAGGGGCUCGGUGAAAUAGACUUGUCUGUGAAGAUGCGGACUACCUGCACCAGGACAGAAAGACCCUAUGAAGCUUUACUGUAACUUGAAAUUGAAAUUGGACUUUAUUUGCGCAGUAUAGGUGGGAGGCAUUGAUAAUAUUCUUGCGGGAAUGUUGGAGCCAUCAGUGAGAUACCACUCUUGUAAUGUUAGAUUUCUAACUUUGGAUCAUUAUCUGGUCAAAGGACAGUUUCAGGCGGGCAGUUUGACUGGGGCGGUCGCCUCCUAAAUGGUAACGGAGGCGCACAAAGGUUUCCUCUGAACGGGUAGAAAUCGUAUCUAGAGUGUAAAGGCAUAAGGAAGCUUGACUGUGAGACCUACAAGUCGAGCAGGGACGAAAGUCGGUCUUAGUGAUCUGACGGUGCUGAGUGGAAAGGCCGUCACUCAACGGAUAAAAGUUACUCUAAGGAUAACAGGCUGAUCUCCCCCAAGAGUUCACAUCGACGGGGAGGUUUGGCACCUCGAUGUCGGCUCAUCGCAUCCUGGGGCGGUAGUACGUCCCAAGGGUUGGGCUGUUCGCCCAUGAAAGCGGUACGCGAGCUGGGUUCAGAACGUCGUGAGACAGUUCGGUCCAUAUCCGGCGUAGGCGUUAGAAUAUUGAGAGGAGCCUUCUUUAGUACGAGAGGACCGAGAAGGACAUACCUCUGGUGUACCAGUUAUCGUGCCAACGGUAAACGCUGGGUAGCUAUGUAUGGAGAGGAUAACCGCUGAAAGCAUCUAAGUGGGAAGCCCACCUCAAGAUAAGUAUUCU
rnacentral:rRNA from 1 species